UACGUAGGGGGCAAGCGUUGUCCGGAUUUAUUGGGCGUAAAGAGCGUGUAGGCGGCCAGGUAGGUCCGUUGUGAAAACUCGAGGCUCAACCUCGAGAUGUCGAUGGAAACCAUCUGGCUAGAGUCCGGAAGAGGAGAGUGGAAUUCCUGGUGUAGCGGUGAAAUGCGCAGAUAUCAGGAAGAACACCGGUGGCGAAGGCGGUUCUCUGGGCCUUACCUGACGCUGAGGAGCGAAAGCGUGGGGAGCGAACAGG
rnacentral:rRNA from 1 species